GGCCCCGGGACCCCGGCUCGUCGCUGUCGUCGUCGUCCUCGUCGUAGUCGGGCGGCCCCAGCGCCGGCCCCAGCGCCCCGGGCCCGGCUCCCGUGUGGGGGGAGCAACAGGACGAGGACGACGAAGAGGGCGGGGAGCCGCCACCGCCGUCCUCGCCACGGGCGCAGCCGAAGCGCGGUUCGCCGUCCACCGCCUUGGUGAUGAGCGUAGCGAGCCCCAGCUUCUCGCCAACGUGCGCAAGAAAAACCGUGGGAGGAGUCUGGAACAAAACAGGUGGAAGUAGCCAGGGUGUGGACAUUUCUCCAGAGGACACCCUCAGACAGUCAAGGCAAGAAGACAGUUUGGAUGCAGGAUGUCAGAUUCCAGGUGCGACGGAGCUCCUGUCUUCUCGUUGCUGCUUCGUCUGCCAUGGAAGCCUGACAGCGAUGGCCUCCCUUGUCCCGGAGACUCAGCCAGAUGGCCUCUGCAGGGACCUCGCCCACCUGCCAGCAUGUCUCGGUAGCUACACUUGCCCAGGGGUUGCCAGCACCGGACACCUGGGGGGGCGUCCAGCCAGGACCUGGUGGUGCUAACGUCAUUCUCAGAAUAGCCCACCCAGGAGUCCUGUCCUCUGGGCUUCUUCACCUCUCCCUCUGCACCCACCUGCCACCCCCAGGUUCAGCAGAGUGACAGCCCUGGGGAGGAGAGAGUCAAAGCACAGCGAGGAGGUGCCUGAGCUCUGGGGCUCUCCUCUGCUUUCCACUCCCUCACCAGAUGUUCUCUGGGUCAUUCCUGUCCCAUGCUGGUUCCCUCUGCUCUCCUCCAGUCUCGGAGGAAAUCCUGCCUGGCCGUCAAGGCCAGCUCCGGCUGCUGAGGCCAUCGGCUGAUGAAGCAUGCUUUCCGAACUCCUUAAGUUUUUCCGGAUAACGCCUGUCUCAUGCCAGGUGGUCCUGGUAGGGCUGACACGGACCAAUCCAGAAUCCUCUCUCCCUGGUCACAGGGAUGGGCCAAGGCAUGGGCUCAGGCAUGGGUGACGGGACCCAACCAGGGUUAACCAGACCCUUCCCUGAGAUUGAUGAGAGAAUCUUGCAAGAGGAAAGUGUUCUUUUUUUGUCAUGUCACCUGGGAUGUUAGGAGUUUGUGACUGCCAUUGGCCAUCUUGCCUGCACUGAAAGAGCACCGUCAUGCAAUAGAAAAUCAUAUACUGUCAGAGCCCUAAGGACAACAUGGCUUGAGCCUCUGGAUCCAGCUAUUCCUGAAGCAGAAUACCCCUGGAUUUCCCAGUUAGAUGAUCCAAUAAAUCUCUUUUAAUAUGACA
rnacentral:lncRNA from 1 species